rnacentral:misc_RNA from 1 species
AACCUUAUGGACCUGCGGGCGUAUACCUGCGGAAGGAUCAUUACCGAGUUUACAACUCCCAAACCCCUGUGAACAUACCUAUAUGUUGCCUCGGCGGAUCAGCCCGCGCCCCGUAAAACGGGACGGCCCGCCGCAGGAUCCACAAACUCUGUUUUUAUUGUAACUUCUGAGUAACAAAACAAAUAAAUCAAAACUUUUAACAAUGGAUCU